GGCCCCGCCGCCAACGGCUGUGGAACGACGGGCGCCCAGACCCCGGCGCUGCCACCGCUAGGGCCCUGGAGACGCAUCGCCCUUAGAGCCCGAACUAGCUGGGGUCUCGUUCCUGUGGUGACUGCUGCUCAGGCCUGCUCUCCCCGCACAAGCUCCCGCACAAGCUCCGCCCACACCGUCCAAAAGUGAAAUAAAAUACUACUUGCUUAAUGGACUGAGCAACCAUAAGAUGACAAAUGUGACACACUGAGAGGGCAAUGUGACUGCAAUAUACAAAGUGCCUCCUCAUGGACCAGAGAUAGGAUUUCAGAUUUCUACAUUGCACUACUGACAAUUUCAUGUGUAACAAGAGCUAACGCUUCUUUUGGAGACCAUCCAGGAAAACAUACUGAAAGGGUUUUCCAUCACCAUGAUAGUCAAGCUAUGCAGGGUUCCAGGACCCAUUUGUAUUCUACAUGUGUUGAUCCAUUCUGAUCUCCACAAACUGUGUUAUGUGCCAGCAUCAUCUUGAUAACCUCAAGCUGCAUAGUCAGAACCCAGCCUAUCUGUGGAGAAAGAAGCAGGACAGUCCACUGUGUUUCCUGGAAAUUUAAAAAUCGGCAGCUAGGAAGACUGAGAAAAUCGAGUUAAAUCUCUCAGGCUGGUCUGUGGAGGUGCAACCAGUUGGAAUUCCUUCUGGAAGUGAAAGUAAAAUACCUGCUGUGAAAGAAGCAAACGAAUGCAAAUGUUGUGACCCCAACUGUUACUAGUCUCACUAAAAUUUUGAUCUUGGAAAGAACACGCCUCCACUGGACAAGUCGUUUUGUUCUUCUGGGAAGGAAUUAAUACAUGGGAUGAAAGGAGGGUCAAUGGACAGCUACCACUACCUAAAUCCCUUAGCUUUAAGUGGGAGUAAUUGACAUAGCUGCCCGCAAGCCCACCUGUGCUUUAAAACGAGUAAAAGGAGGGGGUUACAGGGAUGACGGGAGCCUAGGAGAGAAAGGGGCGAAAAGCAAAAACGAAAUGAUUCUAAGGAAGGAUAGGGGCGGCUGCUCCACUGCCCCGGCACAGGUAUCAAACGACUGGAAAUGCAUAAUCUGAAAAGUGCUUUUCUACGUGGAAAUCAGCGGUGGAGCCGAUUCUUCUACGUUCCUCGGAGUAACGGUCAGCCUAGGAUUCCACGAGCACUUCACUUGGGUUUCUCUUCUAACUCUCUGCCCUCCUGGAAAAGUGUUACUUUCUACCGACUUCAUAUGUCAGAGAAACAAACCUCCUUCGACUUGAGGAGCUUCUAAAACGCUUUACUUCCCUGAAAAGUGAAAACAGGUGAGACCGAAACAAGCACUUUUGUCCGGAGUCUGAAAUACAGAAAAAUCAGCAGCUGGGCUUCCCUGGUGGCGCAGUGGUUGAGAGUCCGCCUGCCGAUGCAGGGGACACGGGUUCGUGCCCCGGUCCGGGAGGAUCCCACAUGCCGUGGA